GAUGGAGUAAACCAGAGCGAAGCCCUGGCCGUUCUUCAUGUACAGGUCCCUCAUGGCCGUGAACUGCUCCUGUGGAAACACCGGCGGAGCCAAUCAGAAACAAUGCGGCGCUCCUACCUUCCUGUACGAGUCCUCUAUCGUCGGGUCGUAUUUCUCCACAAAGAUUCCCUGAACAAACUGGACCGUCUGCACAGAGAGAGGAAGAGGAGGAGAUGAAGAGCAGCUUCAUCAGGAUGGAAAACAGUUUACUGAUUAAAAAGCAACAUGUCUAAAUGUUUACAGAAAUUCUCAUAGAACUUCAUCAAAUAACACCCAGA